UCCUCCCCAAACUCCUCCACCAUGCUCCAUCUUGGUCUCGAUCCAUAGCCAUUAGCCAACAGUCCAUGGCUAGCUGCCAACGUCACAAUUGGUUGGAAGAAUUUCUAAGAAAAUGGCAUUUACACUACUAAUUCAUUCAUGUUGGAAAGAUCUUUGUCUGGUGUCUGCCAACCAAAAACAUAUACCAUACUAAAGAAGCUGAUGUUAUUUGGGAGUUCGUUUCUCAUUUGGACAAUAUUAUCAACAUUAUCACUUCCUUCCAUAAGCGCAUUAUAGAGUUACAAUCUGCUCAAAGAAAUGAAAUUGAGCAUAUGUUAGCUACAGGGGAGUGUGAGUCUGGAAGAGGAGCAAAUCAAGUGAAUAAUUUACAACGAUCAGGAGCAACUCAUUGAAGUUCUCAUAAUGACUCUAUAAAGAGCUUAAUAGAUACGUACACUACAACUUGCAAGGUGUUUGAAAAUCAUAUUGUCCAUUGUCCAAAUGUAAGAUCUCGGGGCGAAGUUUGUGGACUUACAAACAUAUGAAAAUUUCUAAUUGUGUUCAGUUUGCAUUUAAUGCAUAACAUCAUGAGAUUAACCGAUAAUCUUUGUCAGGCACUCAAAGGGAAUCUUUAAUCAUCUUGGCUGCUAUAAGACUUGUUUCUACUACAACAAAACUCCUUAAAAAGGGAGAGAUGAUGAUUGGGAAGAAUUUCUUCAGGAAGUAAGAAAGUUUUGCUCAAAACACGAUAUUGAGAUACCCAACCUAGAAAGUUUGUACAAGGUUGGUCCUUGUUGUUCUCGUGAUCAAAUUACAAUGGAGCAUCAUUAUCACUUUGAUGUUUUCAAUGAAAUAAUA